GCGGCGCCUGCGCGGUGGGCGGUGCCUGCGCUAAGAUGGCGGACGAUAAGGACCCGCUGCCCAAGCUGAAGGACCUCGCCUUCCUGAAGAACCAGCUGGAGAGCCUGCAGCGCCGGGUGGAGGACGAGGUGCACGCCGGUGUGGGGCAGGAUGGCUCCCUGCUGGCCUCACCCUUUCUCAAAGGCUUCCUGGCAGGCUACCUGGUAGCCAAACUUCGCUUCUCGUCUGUCCUGGGAUUCGUGGCUGGGACCUGC